rnacentral:rRNA from 1 species
AGGGGGAUAGCCCGGAGAAAUUCGAAGUAACCCCCCCAUGAGGAUGAUUGGAGGCAUCUCUAAGUAUUCAAAACCGAGGUGGUAAAGGAUGGGCAUGCGUACUAUUAGCUAGUUGGUGAGGUAACGGCUGCACCAAGGCGACGAUAGUUAGGGGAUCUGAGAGGACGGUCCCCCACACUGGUACUGAGACACGGACCAGACUCCUACGGGAGGCAGCAGUAAGGAAUAUUGGGCAAUGGAGGGAACUCUGACCCAGCCAUGCCGCGUGAAGGAAGAAGGCCUUAUGGGUUGUAAACUUCUUUUAUCGGGGGAUAAAGGGCUUCAUGAGUGGAGCAGUGAAGGUACCCGAGGAAUAAGCAUCGGCUAACUCCGUGCCAGCAGCCGCGGUAAUACGGAGGAUGCGAGCGUUAUCCGGAUUUAUUGGGUUUAAAGGGUGCGCAGGCGGGCUGUUAAGUCAGUGGUGAAAGGCUAGUGCUCAACAUUAGCAGUGCCGUUGAUACUGAUGGUCUUGAGUGAGGUCGAGGCAGGCGGAAUGUGAUGUGUAGCGGUGAAAUGCACAGAUAUUACGCAGAACUCCGAUUGCGAAGGCAGCAUACCGGCGCUCAACUGACGCUGAAGCACGAAAGCGUGGGGAUCAAACAGGAUUAGAUACCCUGGUAGUCCACGCAGUAAACGAUGAUAACUAAUUGUUCGUGCCGAGAGAGGCAUGAGUGAUACAGCGAAAGCGUUAAGUUAUCCACCUGGGGAGUACGCCGGCAACGGUGAAACUCAAAGGAAUUGACGGGGGCCCGCACAAGCGGAGGAACAUGUGGUUUAAUUCGAUGAUACGCGAGGAACCUUACCCGGGCUCAAACGACAGAGGGAUAUGGUUGAAAGACUAUAGCUAGCAAUAGCCGCCGUCGAGGUGCUGCAUGGUUGUCGUCAGCUCGUGCCGUGAGGUGUCGGCUUAAGUGCCAUAACGAGCGCAACCCCCAUUGAUAGUUGCCAACAGGUCAAGCUGGGAACUCUAUCGAGACUGCCGGCGCAAGCUGCGAGGAAGGCGGGGAUGACGUCAAAUCAGCACGGCCCUUACGUCCGGGGCGACACACGUGUUACAAUGGCAGGGACAGCGAGAAGCCACACAGCGAUGUGGAGCGGAACUCGAAACCCUGUCUCAGUUCGGAUUGGAGUCUGCAACUCGACUCCAUGAAGCUGGAUUCGCUAGUAAUCGCGCAUCAGCCAUGGCGCGGUGAAUACGUUCCCGGGCCUUGCACUCACCGCCCGUCAAG